GGUUAAGCGACUAAGCGUACACGGUGGAUGCCCUGGCAGUCAGAGGCGAUGAAGGACGUGCUAAUCUGCGAUAAGCGUCGGUAAGGUGAUAUGAACCGUUAUAACCGGCGAUUUCCGAAUGGGGAAACCCAGUGCAAUUCGUUGCACUAUCGUUAAGUGAAUACAUAGCUUAACGAAGCGAACCGGGGGAACUGAAACAUCUAAGUACCCCGAGGAAAAGAAAUCAACCGAGAUUCCCCCAGUAGCGGCGAGCGAACGGGGAGCAGCCCAGAGUCUGAAUCAGCAUGUGUGUUAGUGGAAGCGUCUGGAAAGUCGCACGAUACAGGGUGAAAGUCCCGUACACCAAAAUGCAUAUGUUGUGAACUCGAAGAGUAGGGCGGGACACGUGGUAUCCUGUCUGAAUAUGGGGGGACCAUCCUCCAAGGCUAAAUACUCCUGACUGACCGAUAGUGAACCAGUACCGUGAGGGAAAGGCGAAAAGAACCCCGGCGAGGGGAGUGAAAAAGAACCUGAAACCGUGUACGUACAAGCAGUGGGAGCCUACUUGUUAGGUGACUGCGUACCUUUUGUAUAAUGGGUCAGCGACUUAUAUUCUGUAGCAAGGUUAACCGAAUAGGGGAGCCGAAGGGAAACCGAGUCUUAACUGGGCGUUAAGUUGCAGGGUAUAGACCCGAAACCCGGUGAUCUAGCCAUGGGCAGGUUGAAGGUUGGGUAACACUAACUGGAGGACCGAACCGACUAAUGUUGAAAAAUUAGCGGAUGACUUGUGGCUGGGGGUGAAAGGCCAAUCAAACCGGGAGAUAGCUGGUUCUCCCCGAAAGCUAUUUAGGUAGCGCCUCGUGAAUUCAUCUCCGGGGGUAGAGCACUGUUUCGGCAAGGGGGUCAUCCCGACUUACCAACCCGAUGCAAACUGCGAAUACCGGAGAAUGUUAUCACGGGAGACACACGGCGGGUGCUAACGUCCGUCGUGAAGAGGGAAACAACCCAGACCGCCAGCUAAGGUCCCAAAGUCAUGGUUAAGUGGGAAACGAUGUGGGAAGGCCCAGACAGCCAGGAUGUUGGCUUAGAAGCAGCCAUCAUUUAAAGAAAGCGUAAUAGCUCACUGGUCGAGUCGGCCUGCGC
rnacentral:rRNA from 1 species